rnacentral:rRNA from 1 species
UACGCUAGCCGCUGAAUUGUAAGUUCGGGUGAAGUGAGGCAAUGACUAGAGUGGCGAACUGGUGAGUAACACGUAAGAAACCUGCCCUUUAGUGGGGGAUAACAUUUGGAAACAGAUGCUAAUACCGCGUAACAACAAAUCACACAUGUGAUCUGUUUGAAAGGUCCUUUUGGAUCGCUAGAGGAUGGUCUUGCGGCGUAUUAGCUUGUUGGUAGGGUAGAAGCCUACCAAGGCAAUGAUGCGUAGCCGAGUUGAGAGACUGGCCGGCCACAUUGGGACUGAGACACUGCCCCAAACUCAUACGGGAGGCUGCAGUAGGGAAUUUUCCGCAAUGCACGAAAGUGUGACGGAGCGACGCCGCGUGUGUGAUGAAGGCUUUCGGGUCGUAAAGCACUGUUGUAAGGGAAGAAUAACUGAAUUCAGAGAAAGUUUUCAGCUUGACGGUACCUUACCAGAAAGGGAUGGCUAAAUACGUGCCAGCAGCCGCGGUAAUACGUAUGUCCCGAGCGUUAUCCGGAUUUAUUGGGCGUAAAGCGAGCGCAGACGGUUUAUUAAGUCUGAUGUGAAAUCCCGAGGCCCAACCUCGGAACUGCAUUGGAAACUGAUUUACUUGAGUGCGAUAGAGGCAAGUGGAACUCCAUGUGUAGCGGUGAAAUGCGUAGAUAUGUGGAAGAACACCAGUGGCGAAAGCGGCUUGCUAGAUCGUAACUGACGUUGAGGCUCGAAAGUAUGGGUAGCAAACGGGAUUAGAUACCCCGGUAGUCCAUACCGUAAACGAUGGGUGCUAGUUGUUAAGAGGUUUCCGCCUCCUAGUGACGUAGCAAACGCAUUAAGCACCCCGCCUGAGGAGUACGGCCGCAAGGCUAAAACUUAAAGGAAUGACGGGGACCCGCACAAGCGGUGGGCAUGUGGUUUACUUCGAAGAUACGC